UUUAACUCCGGAUACGGCGAACUUAUUCGUAUUUUUACGCUGUGUGAGAAUGCUACUGUCAUGAUUGACAAAUCAGGAGUUCGUUCACAAAUCCAUGUUAGUCAAGCGUCUUUUUACGAAUUACCUUUGUCUUUAGCCGAAGCAGCAGUUAUUACCGCGGACAAACCCGUGCUCGUUUCGCAAGUAUCAUCUUCUCACCCUUAUGCUGGUUCUAAGAUAGGGGAUCCCAGAUCAGUUUUACCGGCACCAGUGGAUUCCUGGCUGAACGAAUAUUCUUUUAGUACACCCGGAAGGUCUUACGGCGGAAGUUUUGAUCAUGGACUUGUUCUUGUAGCCUAUAGUAUGGCUCUCGAUGAAAUAACUUUAGACAACGAGAGUCUAGAGCCAUCCCUCGUCUGGUAUGAAAUCGCCGAUACAAAUCUAAAUUAUACAGUCUUACCGCUAUCUCAAGGAGCUCAUACGUUGAAAUGCAUUGGAAAUUUAAAAUGUUGGGGAUAUGUUUUUGGAAUCGGUGUGUACGAAGAAUAUGGUACAUCUAUUGGCAGGAGUUUUAUAAAAAAAAAGACAACUGAUGCAAACAGUAUGGGAAAAAUAAUCAUUGAAUUGGAUGUAAUAGACGACCAAAUACUGUUGACAACACCAGUUUUCACUUACAUUGCAAAGUCUCGCACUGAAUGCGGCAAGAUGUGUUUAUUGUAUUCGUGUUCUUUUCUGUCCUUUCGGUCUACAGAUGGAGUAUGCUAUCUUUAUACAGAGGAUCAAACAUGUAGUCCAAAGGAAGUGUCCAAUGAUUUCAGACGUUAUCAUCUUAGAAAAUAGUGAAUUCUUUAUAAUUAUAAUGGUAUAAAUCUUAACAUUUUUAUUUCUACAGUUUACCAAUCUAGUGAGCAUAAUCUCUUUUAGAGAUAUAUUAGUUUUAUCAGUAUUUGAAAAAUAUAUUUAUAGGAUGUGUUUUUUCUUCCUCGUAGAUUUUACUAGAUUUUUAUUAUUUUUCAAACGGACUAGACAUGAAUGUCCCGGACAGAUGAGUAGUUGCUUAUAAGGUCUUUCAUACUUUUUUUUCUAAAACAUCCCAUAAAAAAUACCAGGCUUAUUAUUUGGUACACAAGACACACGUCGAAUGAAACACGAUAUGGAAAACCAGAAUGAAUAGCAUAUAGAUAGAAUGUCACUGACUUAAUUUAGACUUAGAAUAAAGCCUAAAAGAUAGUUUCGGUCAGUAAUGUUAGCGUGUCAUUAGAAUUUUUUAGUAAGUUUCCCUUGCUUUGUAAUUUAUGCACGCAUGGAUUUUGAUUCCAAAAUGAUGACCUAGGACACAAAAAAAGAAAUUGAAUACCAAUUUUUACUUAUUCUACAUUUCUUUCUUACUUUCAUGUAGAAAAGAAGGAAAUCAAAUCAAUGAUGUUCUUUUGAACU